AAGCUUUAAAAUACUCAAUUUUUCUUCAAUGUGGAAUGUAAUUAAAAUACAAUUAAUAGGUAAUAUGCAUUUCAAAUUCACUUGUACUAUCUACUGCUUAGAAAGUAAAUAUGACUAAUCAUAAUCACUUCAUAAUAAGCUUUCUCUAGAUUUCAUUUUCAGCUACAUUGGAACUCUUCUCAUGUUUGGAUGACAAUUUGCAAGUCAGUACUCUUUAGUAAUAUUCUUAGUUUGCUAAAGAUUAAGCUUUUCAUGUGAAAUCAUGGUAUCACUUAUUUUUACUUUUCUGAUUUUAGAAAUACUGAAGGAAGCUUAAGAGAAGUGGAACUGUGGUUCAGCUUAAGAAUUAUGUAUAUUGUCUAAAAAGUCUUUUCAUAUUUAACUCAAACAGAGAGAGAAAUGGUGUGAUUAAAUAACUAUAUUUUUCAAAGUUUGUGCCUAACAGCCUUUGAAGGGAGUUCACUACUGUGAUAUUAGGAAUUUUUUUUUCUUCAUCAUUGAUCUUGGGGGGAAAAUUUUACUGUAUGACUUACUAUUUACAACAUAAAUGCUGAUAGAAACAGCUGUCUAGUGAGAGAAUUGAGAUUUUCUUAGCAUUGCUCUCUAGGACAUGCUGUUCUGCAACUCUCAUGUGAAUACCAGAAAAGUGGCUUCCUGUGUUAGGUACUGUUUUAAUGUAGUGUAGCUCAAAGCGGUAUGUACGUACACUGGAUACCACAUUGUAAGUACACUACACUAACAAAUAUCAGUCUGUUUAGGUGGAAUGAUUUCUCAGCUGUUAGGGUUGUCACAGAGCCCAAGUACAUGUGUAAUUUUGAGCUAGCAUCAUAGUGCGUAGGAACCAGUGGUUGGUAUAUGCCGGUCAUCCCAUAAGAGUAGAUGUGUUUGGAUCUUCGUUAAAUUACUAAGUACAAAAUGUUUCGUGGUCCACACCCCAAAAAUGUUUACUUUUUCCCUUAUACGCUCUAGAAGGAAAUUUUAAACAAUCACACAUUUCAAAUAAAAUGGACAUCUCAUUAUUCUAUUUUAAAACUUCAACUGAUGCAUAAUAUUUGACUUUUCUGCAUAGGUUCUUACAAGGUCUUUCUGUGAAGAGAAACUUAUGUUUGCAAUUAUACCAGGACAAGGUCUACUUAUUAUCCUGGGGAAAAACUAAAAAAGAAAGAAAUGACAGUAUUGAAGGAAAUUGACAGAACUCCCAUAAAACCAAAGACUGGCAGAAACAAAGUAAAUAAUGAUGAAACUGAGCUACAGAUCACCCAGAAGAAGUAUCUCCUUCCAAAAAAAACUGUGGCAUUUCACUCUCUGAGAAACAAA